AUGGCGCGAAAUUUCAAAUCAAAACCGGAAACAAAUAAAGAAAAAAUGGCGCGAAAUUUCAAAUCAAAACCGGAAGCAAAUAAAGAAAAAAUGGCGCGGAAUUUUUCAAAACCGGAAGUAAACAAAGGAAAUAUGGCGCGAAAUUCAAAAUUCAACGGAAAUAAAAAGGUUAGAGCGCGAAAUUCAAAUAUACAAAAUAGAAAUUUUGAAACUUAUCAAGAACAAAAAUCAUUUGAAAAUGCAUCAGAAAACAAAAUUGAAAAUGAAUCUGAACAAGUAGAAACAUUUGAAAUUAAUUUAGCGGGAAAUCCAAAUUCUUGUUUGAUUAAAAUUGCACAUAUGAAAGUUAGAAGUUUAAUUGACAGUGGAGCUUCAGUAUCUUUAUUGCAUAAUAAGAUUUACAAUUCAAUUAAGGGAUUACCAAAAUUAGAAAAAAAGAAAGUCAAUUUACAAGGAGUUAACGGGGCUUCUUUAAAUGUUUUAGGAAGUAUAAAUUUAGACUUUAACAUGAAAGGAAACAAAAUGAAUCAUACUUUUUAUGUAGUAUCUGACAUGAACAGAAAUGCAAUUUUGGGUCGUGACUGGUUAGUCAAAUUUGGUGUUAGAGUUUAUUUUGAUUUGGGAUGUUUAAGGAUAAAUAAAACUUAUGUACCAUUAGUAGAAGAUAUUCAUAUAGCUUCAAUUGUUAGACUUGCUCAAACCACUGUCUUCAAACCUCAGACUAGUAAUAUUUGUUAUGUAAAAGGUAAUAAAAAUUAUACAUUCUCAAGUUCUAAAUCUUUUGAAAUUUCACCAAUUACCAAGGGGCAUUUGAGUUAUCAACCAGGUUUAAUGGUUGCUAAUUCAGUUGCAAACAUUAAUGAAAAGCGUCAAAUGCCAGUACUUAUAGUUAAUACUACGAAUAGAACUUAUAAGUUUAGAAGGGGCAUAGCAAUAGGAAGGGCUUCACCAGUUUUAGAAGAAAAUGUUGUCUCACUUGAAUCUACUCAAGAGCACUCUGAAAUUGAGAAUGUUUUUGAAACUGAUCUUAAUGUUCCUGAUGUUCAUAGGGGUAGGGUGUUACAACUGUUGAAUAAUAAUAGAGAUGUUUUUGCUUUUAAGGAUACUGAAUUAGGUCAAACUGACACUGUGAAAAUGAGAAUCGAUACAGGGGAUAAUCCCCCGGUUAAAUUGAAACCUUAUCGAACUCCAUUACACAAAAGAGAAAUAGUCAAUAAAGCAAUAACUGACAUGUUAGAAGCAAACAUUAUAAGAAGAUCUAAUAGUAAUUAUUCCUCACCAGUUGUAUUAGUUGAUAAAAAAGAUAAAACUACACGCUUUUGCAUAGAUUUCAGGUCCCUGAACUCUUCUACGUUAGCAAUCCGAUAUCCACUUCCGGUUAUCGAUGAUAUAUUGACACUUUUAGGGGCUGCAAAGUUUUAUUCAUUAAUCGACCUUAGGGCAGGAUUCUGGCAAAUUAAGAUGGCGGAAGAAGAUAAAUCAAAAACAGCAUUUGUUUGUCAUAAGGGACUUUUCGAAUUUAAUGUUAUGCCAUUUGGAUUGCAAAAUAGUCCUGCUGUAUUUAGUCAACUAAUGGAAAUAGUGUUACAAGAUCUAAAUUUUGCUAUCUCCUAUAUAGACGAUAUUUUGAUAUUUUCUGAAACUUUGGAAGAACAUUUCAAUCAUAUUCAACAAGUAUUUGACAGAUUAAGACAACAUAAUUUGAAAUUGAAAUUAAAGAAAUGUCAAUUUUUGCAGGAAGAAACUAAUUAUUUAGGUUUUAAAAUCAAUAUCGACGGUGUAAAACCGGACGAUGCCAAAGUUGAAGCAAUAAAAACAUUACCAAACCCUGUUACUGUUAAGGAAGGUAAGAAGUUUUAUAGGGGCGUGUUCAUACUAUAGACGCUUUAUCCCUAAUUUUUCAAAGAUUUCUAUACCUUUAGUUGCUUUAACUAAAAAAAUAUGCUAAAUUUCAAUGGGAUGAGGAAUGUCAAAGAGCUUUUGAUUUUUUGAAAUAUAGUUUAACUGUGACUCCUUUAUUAGCAUACCCAGACUUGAAGAAACCUUAUGUUUUAUAUACUGACGCGUCUAAUGAUACCAUAGGUGCAUGUCUUACGCAACCUUGCGAGGAAGAAGAAACUCAUUUAUCAUGUUUAAGAAAAGAAAAACCCAUUUACUUCUUAUCUCAUAAACUGUCAGAUACACAGUCUAGGUGGUCUACUAUUGAAAAAGAAGCAUUUAGCAUUCAUUAUGCAUUACAAAAAUUAGAUCAUUAUCUUCAUGGAGCUGAAUUUAUUAUCAGAACUGACCACAAGCCUUUAAAGUACUUAUUGCUUUCGCCACAAUGUAACAAAAAAUUACAACUUUGGGCUUUAGGUAUUGCAAGUUACAAUUGCAAGAUUGAAUGGCUAGCGGGAACUGAUAAUACUAUUGCUGACUAUCUUUCAAGAAGGCCUCCGGGUCAAGAAGGCAAUCAAAAUCAAAGUGAAACAAUUGAAGUAGAUAUAAGUGACAAGGCUUUUCAAAUCAAUACUUUGAAUUCAAAUGAGUUCAAUCCAAAAGAUUUUGCAAGUUGUGACUAUAAAGAAGAUGACCAACUUAGCGUCAAGGAAUGUACGAUUCCUGGUUAUGACAUGAAAAUUGAACAAUCUUUAGACAUAGAACUUUCGGAAAUUAUUAAUCAAAUAAACACAGGUAAGGCUUCAAGAAGUGUUGAUAAUAAACAUAUUAUUAUCAAUGAUAUACUUUAUUACAUUUCUCACCCUGAUGAUGAUUUAAAGUUAAGGCUUUAUGUUCCAUUACAAUUACGAAAUGAGGUAAUCAAAAGUUAUCAUGAUAAUCUAAGUCAUUUAGGAAUCGACAAAUGUCAUGAUUCAAUUAGGCAAAAAUAUUUUUGGCCAAAGUUAUAUAAGGAACUUAAUUCCUAUAUUAAUUCCUGUGUUAUCUGUCAAUCUCAAAGUGCAGGUAAAACAAAACCUUUAUUACAAAUAUCUGAUAUACCACCAUUUCCAUUUGCUAAGAUAGGGGUAGAUUUAUCUGGACCUUAUCCUACAUCAUUGUCAGGAAAUAAGUAUAUUGUCAGCUUUGUUUGUCAUUACAGUGGGUGGCCUUUGGCUUUUCCUGUUCCAAAUAAAACUUCGGAAAAUGUGGUUCAUUUAUUAAUUGAAGAAAUAAUCCCAAACUUUUCUGUGCCGUUAGUUAUAGUGUCAGACAAUGGCGGUGAAUUCACCUCUAAAAUAUUUGAAGAAACUUUAAAAGAAUUAAAUAUAAGUCACAUAACAACUUCUUUUUAUCAUCCACAGGGAAACGCGAAAGUAGAAAGAUUUCACAGGACGCUUCAUGACGUCAUGGCAAAGAAAUUGCAAAGUGACGCGUCUACUUGGGACGUAUGCCUAAAUCAAACAAUAGCAGCUAUUAGGUUUCAGAAAAAUGAAUCAACAAAAUUUUCUCCAUUUUUUCUUUUGUACAAUAGAGACCCUGUUCUUCCAAUUGAUAACCUAUUGAAACCUAGAAGGAAAUAUGUAGGUGAAGAUCCGCACAAGAUUUUGUUAGAACAACAGCACAAAUCGUUCAUUUUAGUUCACAGAAAUUUGAAAAAGUCUAAAGAAAAACAAAAACAAAACGCAGAUAAAAAUAGACAAGAAAUUAAUUUAGAAAUUGGGGAUCCGGUUUAUUUCAAAAAUCAUUUAAGAAAAAGUAAAUUAGACACUAAGUGGAAACCUUAUUACCGAAUAAUUGAAAAAAACUUCUCCGGUAACCUUUGUCCUUAAAAACCAAUUAGAUGGGUCUGUCGCUAAGAAAGUCCAUUUAGAACACCUUAAAAAAGCUAAGAUUGAUGAAUGGGUUAUUCCAACCAAUCUAGAAGGUAGGCAAUUAAGGAAAAAACAAAUUAUGUUGUACCUCCCGAAGAUAGUGACGAAAGUGAUAGUGAACUUCCGGUCGCUAAUCCUCGAGAAAGACUCAUAAAUCGUUACCGACAAGAACGAGAAACAUCUUCCGACGAGGAUGAUAUUCCGCUCGCUGAACUUAAACAAAAAAUAGCAAAUAGAAACCGACGUGAAAACGAAGAAGACAAAUCUUCCGUCACUUCCGGUUCAAGCGAAAUGUCGGAUAAUAAUAGUUCUGAUGGGUAUAAUUCAGACCGCAGUCAAAAAAAUGUCUGUUGAUGAAGUUAGAAUACCAAAGAAACAUAAGCAAACAGUUAAAAAGUCUGAAAAGAAAGACGAAUUAAUUUUAAGUUUUCUCUCAAACAUUUCUAGUUAUCUUAAUAAAAUGCACGACUAACAUGUCGUAGACGUAGGCUUCGUGAUUAUUGUUUUUUUUAAAUUAAAAUAUGUGUAUAUAAAAUAAUUUUGUUUUGAUUAAUCAUUCUAAUUCUCGCUUCAGAUUGAUCGCUGAAAAAUUGUUGAUUGUUUAGAAAUCCUAUAAAUAUCAGUAAUCUCUGAAUCACAGCUUUGUUUAUGAAAAAGGAAGGAAAGUGUUGGUUGAAUGUCAAACCUUAUUUAAAAAAAAAAAAAAAAAAAAAAAAUUUUCAGUCCUAACUAUAGAAAAGUUUAUCUUAUUAGUUUAUUGUUUUUGUAUUUGAGUUUAUUUUUAUUUUUUGUUCUUAUUUAAAUAGAUAACAUAUCGAUAAUUUAUUUUUUCAAAUUAAAGCAGUUAGAACUUGAGGACGACUUUGAACUAUCAAAUUUAGUAAAUGCAUUAAUUCAUUUUGUUGCUAUAUUUAUAGGUAUUUUGUUAUUUUAAUAUAUUCUUAAGUUUAAUAAUAGGUGUUUAGCCAAGAGAAUUUAGUAAUAGAGAGGUUCAAAUAGUCACACGAUACCUUGGUGGCGAUCAAAUGGUGUCAACUAAUGUUGAGGGCGAUGGUACUGCCUCCAGAGAUGAUAAAAUAGCUUCUGCACCAUUAUUACAAGAACCAGCCACUAAGAACCAUUAUUAUCAGUAUUCAGUAUUGGAUAUUGGCUUUGAUUAUUGGACACAACGCAGACGAUUAGAUGUACAUAAAACUAUACGAUCACAUAACUUAUAUUGGUAG
rnacentral:sRNA from 1 species